rnacentral:rRNA from 1 species
UACAGAGGGUGCAAGCGUUGUUCGGAAUUAUUGGGCGUAAAGGGCGCGUAGGCGGUGCUCCAAGUCUGGUGUGAAAUCUCCCGGCUUAACUGGGAGGGUGCAUUAGAAACUGGAAUGCUAGAGGAUGGGAGAGGUAAGCGGAAUUCCUGGUGUAGCGGUGAAAUGCGUAGAUAUCAGGAGGAACACCUGUGGUGUAGACAGCUUACUGGACCAUUUCUGACGCUGAGACACGAAAGCGUGGGUAGCAAACAGG